UUCCGGUUGAUCCUGCCGGACCUGACUGCUAUCGGAUUGAUACUAAGCCAUGCGAGUCAUUGUAGCAAUACAAGGCAGACGGCUCAGUAACGCGUAGAUCAAUCUACCCUAUGGACGGGAAUAACCUCGGGAAACUGAGAAUAAUGCCCGAUAGAACAUUAUGCCUGGAAUGGUUUAUGUUUCAAAUGAUUUAUCGCCAUAGGAUGGGACUGCGGCCUAUCAGUUUGUUGGUGAGGUAAUGGCUCACCAAGACUAUUACAGGUACGGGCUCUGAGAGGAGUGGCCCGGAGAUGGGUACUGAGACACGGACCCAGGCCCUAUGGGGCGCAGCAGGCGAGAAAACUUUGCAAUGUGCGAAAGCACGACAAGGUUAAUCCGAGUGGUUUCUGCUAAAGAAACCUUUUGUUAGUCCUAGAAACACUGAUGAAUAAGGGGUGGGCAAGUUCUGGUGUCAGCCGCCGCGGUAAAACCAGCACCUCAAGUGGUCAGGAUGAUUAUUGGGCCUAAAGCAUCCGUAGCUCGUUUUGUAAGUUUUCGGUUAAAUCCAUGCACUUAACGUAUGGGCUGCCGGGAAUACUGCAUAACUAGGAAGUGGGAGAGGUAGACGGUACUCGAUAGGAAGGGGUAAAAUCCUUUGAUCUAUUUGAUGACCACCUGUGGCGAAGGCGGUCUACCAGAACACGUUCGACAGUGAGGGAUGAAAGCUGGGGGAGCAAACCGGAUUAGAUACCCGGGUAGUCCCAGCUGUAAACUAUGCAAACUCAGUGAUGCAUUGGCUUGUGGCCAAUGCAGUGCUGCAGGGAAGCCGUUAAGUUUGCCGCCUGGGAAGUACGUACGCAAGUAUGAAACUUAAAGGAAUUGGCGGGGGAGCACCACAAGGGGUGAAGCCUGCGGUUCAAUUGGAUUCAACGCCGG
rnacentral:rRNA from 1 species